CCUACGGGUGGCAGCAGUGAGGAAUAUUGGUCAAUGGGCGGGAGCCUGAACCAGCCAAGUCGCGUGAGGGAAGACGGUCCUAUGGAUUGUAAACCUCUUUAGGCGGGGAGCAAUGCCGGGCACGCGUGCCCGGAGGGAGAGUACCCGCAGAAUAAGCAUCGGCUAACUCCGUGCCAGCAGCCGCGGUAAUACGUAGGGGGCAAGCGUUAUCCGGAUUUACUGGGUGUAAAGGGAGCGUAGACGGCAAGGCAAGCCAGAAGUGAAAGGGCAGGGCUCAACCCUGUACAUGCGUUUGGAACUGUGGUGCUAGAGUGCAGGAGAGGUAAGUGGAAUUCCUAGUGUAGCGGUGAAAUGCGUAGAUAUUAGGAGGAACACCAGUGGCGAAGGCGGCUUACUGGACUGUAACUGACGUUGAGGCUCGAAAGCGUGGGGAGCAAACAGGAUUAGAUACCCUUGUAGUC
rnacentral:rRNA from 1 species